rnacentral:rRNA from 1 species
CCGAACGUUGGCGGCGUGGAUUAGGCAUGCAAGUCGAACGAAUCCCGGGGUAGCAAUACCUCGGGGGAAGUGGCGAAAGGGGCAGUAAUACAUGGAUAACCUACCCUGGGGAUGGGCAUAGCCGUUCUAACGAACGGGUAAUACCCAGCGAGUCGACGGGUCGGCAUCGAUCUGUCGGGAAAUGAAUUUCGCCUCGGGAGGGGUCCAUGCGAUAUCAGCUAGUUGGUGGGGUAACGGCCCACCAAGGCUUAGACGUCUAGCGGGUGUGAGAGCACGACCCGCGCCACUGGCACUGAGACACUGGCCAGACACCUACGGGUGGCUGCAGUCGAGGAUCUUCGUCAAUGGGCGCAAGCCUGAACGAGCGAUGCCGCGUGAGCGAUGAAGGCCUUCGGGUUGUAAAGCUCAAAAGGGGUGAGAAAGGGAAACUUGAUCGAACCCCAGUAAGCUCGGGCUAAGUUCGUGCCAGCAGCCGCGGUAAGACGAACCGAGCGAACGUUGUUCGGAAUCACUGGGCUUAAAGGGCGCGUAGGCGGGUGCUCAAGUCCGUGGUGAAAUCCUCCGGCUCAACCGGAGAACUGCCUCGGAUACUGGGUGCCUCGAGGGUGGUAGGGGUAUGCGGAACUAUCGGUGGAGCGGUGAAAUGCGUUGAUAUCGAUAGGAACUCCGGUGGCGAAGGCGGCAUACUGGACCACCUCUGACGCUGAGGCGCGAAAGCCAGGGGAGCAAACGGGAUUAGAUACCCCGGUAGUCCUGGCCCUAAACGAUGGGUACUAGCUAGUAGGGUUCACAUGGCUUUACUGGCGAAGCAAAAGUGCUAAGUACCCCGCCUGGGGAGUAUGGUCGCAAGGCUGAAACUCAAAGGAAUUGACGGGGGCUCACACAAGCGGUGGAGCAUGUGGCUUAAUUCGAGGCUACGCGAAGA